AAGUGCGUUCCUCCCAGAGACCAGCACUGGGAGCCAGGCUGAGUGAAGAUGUACAUUGUAUAACAUCACUAAUUGUGCUUUCCUGAAAGCACGGCCCGCACAGCCCUGCGUUUGGAGACAAAGAACUCCCAGGCAAGGGACUGUUUUUCAGAAAGAAGCCGCAAGGAAGACUGAAGUCUAGUACACAAGUGCAGUUUAAGAGAUUGUCUAAUAGAGCAAUUAUAAGUUGUGUUUUUUCUUGCCCUUUGUAUACUUCUAUGUAUAUGCAUGUGUGUUCCUAGUACCUCCAUGCCAGCUGGUGAAAAGAGCUGCAGCCUCUUUGGUUUAAUUAAAAAACAAGUUUGACAGAAA